UCUGUACGAGAUUCAUAUAGUGGUAUACUAGACAAAACACAUUUUUCCCAACAGUUAGUACUUGUCAACAAAUGAGGUGCUUGUGUAUGUUGUAUGCAUGUUGUCGACUGGUAGUAGCACUUGAAAAUAUCUGGAAUCCUUACCCGAGUACAAGAGUGGAAUAUCCCUGGUUAGAGCUGUGAAAUAACGGAUUGUCGCACGUCUUGGAUAAAAUUUGACGACAUGCCCAACCAGUUCUCCGCUGCUUUCCAUCCAAGUUGUGGCGCUGCUAUCCGGCGAUAUCCCCAUCACUUUGGACUAGUGGGAGUCUGACUGAGUCUGGGAGAUGCUGUGCAGACCUACGCCCCACUUCAUCAUCAAGUUCAUGGAGUGACUGCAAGAUACCGCUGUACCGGGACAGCCUAUCCAGAAGAGUGAUUAUACAAGCUCCCUUGCAAAUUGAAGCUUCCACAUGGAUUCUCCAAAUCAGACAACCCAGCUUACCUCACCCAAGGCCCGUGGACGUGUAAUUCUGUCAAAGAUAGUUUUCCCUCAAUAUAUGCCAGGGCUUGAAAUACUGGGUGCAUGUGUGUGUGUGAGUGUGUGUGUGUGUGCUAGUUCAUGUAUGUACGUUAUCAGUGUAAGCGUGUGUUGGUGCAUGUGUGUAUGUGAUUGCAUGUAUCAGAGUGUGUAUAUGUAGUCUUCACACAUGUCCAUAGUUUUAAGAUAAGAGCACAUUGUGUGUCCAGUCUUGUUACAUGUAUAUGGUACUGUGUAUAUGUAUGUCUUCACACGUGGACAUAGUUUUAAAUUAAGAGCACAUUGUGUGUCCAGUCUUGUUACAUGUAUAUGGUACUGUGUAUAUGUAUUUCUUCACACGUGGACAUAGUUUUAAAUUAAGAGCACAUUGUGUGUCCAGUCUCGAAGUUUGUUGUGUGUGUGUGUGUGUGUGUGUGUGUGUUAGUGCAGUGUGUGUGUGUGAGAGUGUAUGUGUGUGUA